rnacentral:lncRNA from 10 species
AAGUGCUCCUCAGUUCAGAAAGAUGUUCACACACCUUGGAGGCCGCACCCAAACCUGUUCAACCAUCCCACAAGCAUGAGUCUGAGACACUCUGGGGGCACCCAGUUCAGACCUUCACCUUCACUGAGGUGGGACAGCUUCGUUGGAGGCCCUGAAAGGGGUUAGGUAUGUCUAAUCUCAGAUACCCUGCUGCUGCUCUUCCUCCAUGCCGUGCUCACAUUUUUCUUGUUUCAAGGACUGCCAGAUAAAGGGAUUCCAAAUCUUUUUUCUUUUCCUUUUUUUCUUUCUUUUUUUUUUUUUUUUGAUACAAAGUCUCGCGCUGUUGCUCAGGCUGGAAUCUCGGCUCACU